rnacentral:rRNA from 1 species
UACGUAGGGUGCAAGCGUUGUCCGGAAUUAUUGGGCGUAAAGAGCUCGUAGGCGGUCUGUCGCGUCUGCUGUGAAAACUCAGGGCUUAACCCUGAGCUUGCAGUGGGUACGGGCAGACUAGAGUGCGGUAGGGGAGACUGGAAUUCCUGGUGUAGCGGUGAAAUGCGCAGAUAUCGAGGAGGAACACCGGUGGCGAAGGCGGGUCUCUGGGCCGUAACUGACGCUGGAGGAGCGAAAGCAUGGGGAGCGAACAGG